rnacentral:tRNA from 1 species
UCUCUGUUAGUAUAUCGGUUAGUACACGCGCCUGUCAUGUGUAAGACCGCGCGAAAGCGGGGUUCGACUCCCCGACAGAGAG